AUUGAACGCUAGCGGGAUGCUUAACACAUGCAAGUCGAACGAGUGGCGGACGGGUGAGUAAUGUAUCGGAACGUGCCCAAUAGCGGGGGAUAACUACUGGAAAGGGUGGCUAAUACCGCAUACUAUCAGAGGUGCCCAUAUCGGAUUAGCUAGUUGGUGGGGUAAAGGCUCACCAAGGCAACGAUCCGUAGCUGGUCUGAGAGGACGACCAGCCACACUGGGAAUGAGACACGGCCCAGACUCCUACGGGAGGCAGCAGUGGGGAAUUUUGGACAAUGGGGGAAAGCCUGAUCCAGCCAUCCCGCGUGUAUGAGAAGGCCUUCGGGUUGUAAAGUACUUUUGGCAGAGAAGCGGUACCUGCAGAAUAAGCACCGGCUAACUACGUGCCAGCAGCCGCGGUAAUUC
rnacentral:rRNA from 1 species